GCUGCGGGGGGACCAGGGACUAACAGAGCCCGGGAUGCUGAGGGGGGACCAGGGACUAGCAGAGCCCGGGAUGCUGCGGUGGGGGGGGACCAGGGACUAGCAGAGCCCAGGACGGUGCGGGGAGACCGGGGUCUAGCAGAGCCCAGGACGCUGCUGGGAGACCACAAACUAGCAGGGCCCAGACACUGCGGGGGGACCGGCGAUGCUGCAGGGGACCGGGGGCUACCAGAGCUUGGGAGGCUGUGGGUUCCCUGGAACUUGGCUGGGGUACCUGGGAUGCUGCAGAGCUUGGAUUGCAUAGCUGGGGGGGCGGGGCGGAGGGGCAUGCUGAGGAGCCUGGGAUGCUUCAGGGGGACUGGAGAAGCUGCGGUGUGGAGCACAUUGGUGGUGGUGGGGAAUCCAGCUAAGCUUGGACAGGGGGGUCGAGGAUACGACUAUACCUGCCUGUGGCCAGGCAGUUCUUAGGGAAACUCUACAGGGAGGACCGGGACUGGCCCGUCCAGGAUGGUAUCUGGGACCAAUUGCUCAUCAGCUCUAAGCCUCAUUCCAAGAAGACUUCUCUUCAGUUAGGAUGCAGAGGAGCCCUUUGUUAGACCAGGA